rnacentral:lncRNA from 1 species
AUGUAUGUAAGGUCUAAUUUUAUGAUUGGUUGUUUACCAACUAUCAAUCACUUAGAUCAGGUAUUUUCAGGUCGAGAUUCCUCUCAAAGCAACUGCUCUCUAUCCCUCUACAUCCCACGUUCUCCUCUCCUUCCUCUACAUCCCACAAUCUCCUUUCUCUCCAUCACAUGUCCUCCUCUCCUUUCUCUCCCUCUCCAUCCCACAUUCUCCUCUCCUUCCUCUCCAUCCCACGUUCUCCUUCCUCUCCCUCUCCAUCCCACGUUCUCCUCUCCUUCCUCUCCAUCCCACGUUCUCCUUCCUCUCCCUCUCCAUCCCACAUUCUCCUCUCCUUCCUCUCCAUCCCACAUUCUCCUUCCUCUCCCUCUCCAUCCCACGUUCUCCUCUCCUUCCUCUCCAUCCCACGUUCUCCUUCCUCUCCCUCUCCAUCCCACGUUCUCCUCUCCUUCCUCUCCAUCCCACGUUCUCCUCUCCUUCCUCUCCAUCCCACGUUCUCCUUCCUCUCCCUCUCCAUCCCUCGUUCUCCUCUCCUUCCUCUCCAUCCCACGUUCUCCUCUCCUUCCUCUCCAUCCCACGUUCUCCUUCCUCUCCCUCUACAUCCCAUGUUCUCCUCUCCUUCCUCUCCAUCCCACGUUCUCCUUCCUCUCCCUCUCCAUCCCACGUUCUCCUCUCCUUCCUCUCCAUCCCACGUUCUCCUUCCUCUCCCUCUACAUCCCAUGUUCUCAUCUCCUUCCUCUACAUCCCAUGUUCUCCUCUCCUUCCUCUCCAUCCCACGUUCUCCUCUCCUUCCUCUCCAUCCCACGUUCUCCUCUCCUUCCUCUCCAUCCCACAUUCUCCUCUCCUUCCUCUCCAUCCCACGUUCUCCUUCCUCUCCCUCUCCAUCCCACGUUCUCCUCUCCUUCCUCUCCCUCUACAUCCCAUGUUCUCCUCUCCUUCCUCUCCAUCCCACGUUCUCCUUCCUCUCCCUCUCCAUCCCACGUUCUCCUUCCUCUCCCUCUCCAUCCCACGUUCUCCUUCCUCUCCCUCUCCAUCCCACAUUCUCCUUCCUCUCCCUCUACAUCCCACAUUCUCCUCUCCUUUCUCUCCCUCUCCAUCUCCUCCUGUCUGCUCCACACAGACCGGACAAGUAGACGAGCGCGCAAUGGAUUAAAGCCAUUGUAG